GCAUGGGUGCCAGAGUUGAAUGGGUUGGUUUUAAGCAUCAAAUAUGGAUUGUGUUCCCCUGUGCG
rnacentral:tRNA from 1 species